rnacentral:misc_RNA from 1 species
GAUGAGGAACGUAGCAAAAUGCGAUAAGUAAUGUGAAUUGCAGAAUUCAGUGAAUCAUCGAAUCUUUGAACGCACAUUGCGCCCGCCAGUAUUCUGGCGGGCAUGCCUGUUCGAGCGUCAUUUCAACCCUCAAGCACAGCUUGGUGUUGGGACUCGCGUUAAUUCGCGUUCCUCAAAUUGAUUGGCGGUCACGUCGAGCUUCCAUAGCGUAGUAGUAAAACCCUCGUUACUGGUAAUCGUCGCGGCCACGCCGUUAAACCCCAACUUCUGAAUGUUGACCUCGGAUCAGGUAGGAAUACCCGCUGAACUUAAGCAUAUCAAUAAGCGGAGGA